rnacentral:tRNA from 1 species
GGCCGAGUGACGAAAUUGGUAGACGUAGCGGACUUAAAAUCCGCAGCCUUUGGCGUACGGGUUCGAUUCCCGUCUCGGCCACCA